rnacentral:rRNA from 1 species
CCAAGGUGUCUAACAUGUGCGCGAGUCUUCGGGUCGUCCGAAAACUCGACGAAACCUGAAAGGCGCAAUGAAAGUGAAGGUCGACCGUCGGCCCUCCCGCUCACAAGGCGGGCUAGGGGCCGCGGUGCAGGCCGAGGCGGGAUCCGAUGAAACAAAACUUGAGAUCCAAAAAAAGCCGGGUCGGGGACAGCCGAUCCCUUGCGCCUUUUCCGUUUCGGCGGAGGGGUGCAGGGGUGAAGCGCGCAUUCUGGCUUGCCAGUUUGCGUUAACCGAAAAGAAAACCCCGCCAUCCCGGUCGGCGCACCGCCGGCCCGUCUCUACCGCACCGUCGGUGAGGCGGAGCAAGAGCGUACACGUUGGGACCCGAAAGAUGGUGAACUAUGCUCGGGCAGGACGAAGCCAGAGGAAACUCUGGUGGAGGUCCGUAGCGAUUCUGACGUGCAAAUCGAUCGUCGGACCUGAGUAUAGGGGCGAAAGACUAAUCGAACCGUCUA